rnacentral:rRNA from 1 species
UACGUAGGGUGCAAGCGUUGUCCGGAAUUAUUGGGCGUAAAGAGCUCGUAGGCGGUUUGUCGCGUCUGCUGUGAAAACCCGAGGCUCAACCUCGGGCCUGCAGUGGGUACGGGCAGACUAGAGUGCGGUAGGGGAGAUUGGAAUUCCUGGUGUAGCGGUGAAAUGCGCAGAUAUCAGGAGGAACACCGGUGGCGAAGGCGGUGGUCUGGGCCGACACUGACGCUGAGGAGCGAAAGCGUGGGGAGCGAACAGG